rnacentral:rRNA from 1 species
UACGUAGGGGGCAAGCGUUGUUCGGAUUUAUUGGGCGUAAAGAGCGCGUAGGCGGCCAGGUAGGUCCGUUGUGAAAACUCGAGGCUUAACCUCGAGACGUCGAUGGAAACCAUCUGGCUAGAGUCCGGAAGAGGAGAGUGGAAUUCCUGGUGUAGCGGUGAAAUGCGCAGAUAUCAGGAAGAACACCCGUGGCGAAGGCGGCUCUCUGGGACGGUACUGACGCUGAGACGCGAAAGCGUGGGGAGCGAACAGG